UAGAGUUUGAUCAUGGCUCAGAUUGAACGCUGGCGGCAGGCCUAACACAUGCAAGUCGGACGGCAGCGGGAGGAAGCUUGCUUCCUUGCCGGCGAGUGGCGGACGGGUGAGUAAUAUCUGGGGAUCUGCCUGAUGGAGGGGGAUAACCACUGGAAACGGUGGCUAAUACCGCAUGAAGUCGCGAGACCAAAGCGGGGGACCUUCGGGCCCCGCGCCAUCAGAUGAACCCAGACGGGAUUAGCUGGAAGGUGGGGUAACGGCUCACCUUGGCGACGAUCCCUAGCUGGUCUGAGAGGAUGAUCAGCCACACUGGGACUGAGACACGGCCCAGACUCCUGCGGGAGGCAGCAGUGGGGAAUAUUGCACAAUGGGGGAAACCCUGAUGCAGCCAUGCCGCGUGUAUGAAGAAGGCCUUCGGGUUGUAAAGUACUUUCAGCAGGGAGGAAGGGGUGAGGAGUAACAUGCCUUGCCAUUGACGUUACCUGCAGAAGAAGCACCGGCUAACUCCGUGCCAGCAGCCGCGGUAAUACGGAGGGUGCGAGCGUUAAUCGGAAUUACUGGGCGUAAAGGGCACGCAGGCGGUUAAUUAAGCCGGAUGUGAAAUCCCCGGGCUCAACCCGGGAACUGCAUUCGGAACUGGUUGACUGGAGUUCUGUAGAGGGGGGUGGAAUUCCACGUGUAGCGGUGAAAUGCGUAGAGAUGUGGAGGAACACCAGUGGCGAAGGCGGCCCCCUGGACAGAGACUGACGCUUAAGUGCGAAAGCGUGGGGAGCAAACAGGAUUAGAUACCCUGGUAGUCCACGCUGUAAACGAUGUCGAUUUAAAGGCUGUGGUCAUGAACUGUGGCUUUUGGAGCAAACGCGUUAAAUCGACCGCCUGGGGAGUACGGCCGCAAGGUUAAAACUCAAAUGAAUUGACGGGGGCCCGCACAAGCGGUGGAGCAUGUGGUUUAAUUCGAUGCAACGCGAAGAACCUUACCUGGUCUUGACAUCCACAGAAGACUGCAGAGAUGCGGUUGUGCCUUUCGGGAACUGUGAGACAGGUGCUGCAUGCUGUCGUCAGCUCGUGUUGUGAAUGUUGGGUAGUCCCGCAACGAGCGCAACCGUGUCGUUUGUUGCCAGCGCGUGCAGGCGAACUCAGGGUAGACUGCUGUGAUAACCGGAGGAAGGGUUGGGGGACCCAACGUCUCAGU
rnacentral:rRNA from 1 species